rnacentral:lncRNA from 1 species
UGAGCCUGGCUUCUCCCAUGACAGUGGCCGCAGACAGAGGGGACCCGUGCCACCAGGCAAGGUGUCUGGGGGCGAGGUGAGAGUUCUGCCAAAGCCGGAGCCAGGGUUGGACCCCCGGAGCUCGUUGGUCGGCCCCUGGAGGGAGAGUGGUGGCAGCUGCUGCCCAGCUCUCUGGCCAGUGCCUCUUAGAUGGUGUCACCACCUGCAGAAGAAAACAGAAGUGCUGACUAAUAUUUG